UGACAACGCGCUCAGGGUUACGUCACCCUGCCCGGGAACAAGGAGACGGAGGUUUGAGCAGCGGCAAAAAUGGAAGUGGCGAGAGAAAACAGCGAUUUUAAAGGAAUAAAAGCAUUUUAUGUUCGAACUGUGACCUGUACUCGGUGCAGUGCCAAAACAGCGCGUUUUAAUGCUGCACCAUCUGAGCCGAGGACACCUGAGACGCGAGGACGCCGAGAGAGCAGGUCCUGAUAUAUUUUGGAGAAGCGGCUUGGUGGUAAAAGAAUGCAGCACACUGAUCCAACACUGGCAGAACUGACAACGUCUCAGAAGCUAAGAUGCACAACACAAAGACGAUGUUUAUGCCUUUUUUAUUGAUUUAUACCCUAUAUUUGUUAUUUACAAGAAAUCCAAAUGUGAAAGUAAUGUAAUUAAAUUUAUUUUUUUUAUUGUGGUAUUUAUUUAUUUAUUGUGUUUUAUUUAUUUGUAUUUGCAAUUUGGAAAUGUUGUGAAUUUAAAAAUAUAACUUAUCUAAAAAAGGAAA